rnacentral:rRNA from 1 species
AGUGAACGCUGGCGGUAGGCCUAACACAUGCAAGUCGAACGGCAGCACAGUAAGAGCUUGCUCUUACGGGUGGCGAGUGGCGGACGGGUGAGGAAUACAUCGGAAUCUACUUUUUCGUGGGGGAUAACGUAGGGAAACUUACGCUAAUACCGCAUACGACCUACGGGUGAAAGCAGGGGAUCUUCGGACCUUGCGCGAUUGAAUGAGCCGAUGUCGGAUUAGCUAGUUGGCGGGGUAAAGGCCCACCAAGGCGACGAUCCGUAGCUGGUCUGAGAGGAUGAUCGGCCACACGGGAACUGAGACACGGUCCAGACUCCUACGGGAGGCAGCAGUGGGGAAUAUUGGACAAAGGGCGCAAGCCUUAUCCAGCCAUACCGCGUGGGUGAAGAAGGCCUUCGGGUUGUAAAGCCCUUUUGUUGGGAAAGAAAAGCAGCAGGUUAAUACCCCGCUGUUCUGACGGUACCCAAAGAAUAAGCACCGGCUAACUUCGUG